GACUUCCUAGUGUAAUGGUUAUCACAGCGGAUUUUGAUUCCGCUAAUCCGAGUUCGAUUCUCGCUUGCCACGUCU